GCUUACGGCCACACCGCCUGGUUCACGCCCCGAUCUCGUUUGAUCUCGGAAGCUAAGAUAGGGUGGGCCUGGUUAGUACUUGGAUGGGAGACCGCCUGGGAAUACCAGGUGUUGUAAGAU
ensembl:rRNA 5S_rRNA 5S ribosomal RNA